ACGCACGCUGGCGGCGUGCUUAACACCUGCCAGUCGAACGGAAAGGCUCCAGCUUGCUGGAGUACUCGAGUGGCGAACGGGUGAGUAACACGUGGGUAAUCUGCCCUGCACUCUGGGAUAAGCCUGGGAAACUGGGUCUAAUACUGGAUAUGACCUUUCUCCUUAUGGGGUUUGGUGGAAAGUUUUUCGGUGUAGGAUGAGCCCGCGGCCUAUCAGCUUGUUGGUGGGGUGAUGGCCUACCAAGGCGACGACGGGUAGCCGGCCUGAGAGGGGGAUCGGCCACAUUGGGACUGAGAUACGGCCCAGACUCCUACGGGAGGCAGCAGUGGGGAAUAUUGCACAAUGGGCGGAAGCCUGAUGCAGCGACGCCGCGUGAGGGAUGACGGCCUUCGGGUUGUAAACCUCUUUCAGCAGGGACGAAGCGUAAGUGACGGUACCUGCAGAAGAAGCACCGGCUAACUAUGUG
rnacentral:rRNA from 1 species